rnacentral:rRNA from 1 species
UUCAACGCAGAGAUUUUCCCCCAGGAACGGCNGCAGAAUGAAANUCAGGNUAAAGNCCUUUACUUGACGAGCCGAGAGGUGUUGCAUGGCCCGCCGUCAGCUCGUGCCGCAAGGUGUCUUCUUAAGUGAGGUAACGAGCGAGACCUGUGCCUACAAUUACCAUCGACUCCUUUUGGAGGAUCGAGUACCUNGUAGGAACUGCCUUGGAAACAAGGAGGAAGGUGCAGGCUACGGUAGGUCUGUAUGACCCGAAUUCCCUGGGCUACACGCGCGCAACAAUGGUAGGGACAAUGGGAUACAACUCCGAAAGGAGAAGUUAAUCCUCUAAACCCUAUCCUAGUUCAGAUCGAGGGCUGUAACUCGCCCUCGUGACGAUGGAAUCCCUAGUAAUCGGACGUCAACAUCGUCCGGUGAAUAUGUCCCUGUUCCUUGCACACACCGCCCGUCAAAUCACCCGAGCAGGGUUUGGGUGAGGCUUACUUUUUUGAGUAUUCCGAACCUAAGCUCAGUGAGGUGGGUUAAGUCGUAACAAGGUA